rnacentral:rRNA from 1 species
GUCGAACGAUGAAGCCCAGCUUGCUGGGUGGAUUAGUGGCGAACGGGUGAGUAACACGUGAGUAACCUGCCCUUAACUCUGGGAUAAGCCUGGGAAACUGGGUCUAAUACCGGAUAGGAGCGCCGACCGCAUGGUGGGUGUUGGAAAGAUUUAUCGGUUUUGGAUGGACUCGCGGCCUAUCAGCUUGUUGGUGAGGUAAUGGCUCACCAAGGCGACGACGGGUAGCCGGCCUGAGAGGGUGACCGGCCACACUGGGACUGAGACACGGCCCAGACUCCUACGGGAGGCAGCAGUGGGGAAUAUUGCACAAUGGGCGCAAGCCUGAUGCAGCGACGCCGCGUGAGGGAUGACGGCCUUCGGGUUGUAAACCUCUUUCAGUAGGGAAGAAGCGAAAGUGACGGUACCUGCAGAAGAAGCACCGGCUAACUACGUGCCAGCAGCCGCGGUAAUACGUAGGGUGCGAGCGUUAUCCGGAAUUAUUGGGCGUAAAGAGCUCGUAGGCGGUUUGUCGCGUCUGUCGUGAAAGUCCGGGGCUUAACCCCGGAUCUGCGGUGGGUACGGGCAGACUAGAGUGCAGUAGGGGAGACUGGAAUUCCUGGUGUAGCGGUGGAAUGCGCAGAUAUCAGGAGGAACACCGAUGGCGAAGGCAGGUCUCUGGGCUGUAACUGACGCUGAGGAGCGAAAGCAUGGGGAGCGAACAGGAUUAGAUACCCUGGUAGUCCAUGCCGUAAACGUUGGGCACUAGGUGUGGGGACCAUUCCACGGUUUCCGCGCCGCAGCUAACGCAUUAAGUGCCCCGCCUGGGGAGUACGGCCGCAAGGCUAAAACUCAAAGGAAUUGACGGGGGCCCGCACAAGCGGCGGAGCAUGCGGAUUAAUUCGAUGCAACGCGAAGAACCUUACCAAGGCUUGACAUGUUCUCGAUCGCCGUAGAGAUACGGUUCCCCUUUGGGGCGGGUUCACAGGUGGUGCAUGGUUGUCGUCAGCUCGUGUCGUGAGAUGUUGGGUUAAGUCCCGCAACGAGCGCAACCCUCGUUCCAUGUUGCCAGCACGUAAUGGUGGGGACUCAUGGGAGACUGCCGGGGUCAACUCGGAGGAAGGUGAGGACGACGUCAAAUCAUCAUGCCCCUUAUGUCUUGGGCUUCACGCAUGCUACAAUGGCCGGUACAAUGGGUUGCGAUACUGUGAGGUGGAGCUAAUCCCAAAAAGCCGGUCUCAGUUCGGAUUGGGGUCUGCAACUCGACCCCAUGAAGUCGGAGUCGCUAGUAAUCGCAGAUCAGCAACGCUGCGGUGAAUACGUUCCCGGGCCUUGUACACACCGCCCGUCAAGUCACGAAAGUCGGUAACACCCGAA